AGCUGAGCUCUCACAAAUUCAAAUGAGUUUAAACAAAAAGGUUGAAAAACUGGGGAUCUUAGAAGCUAAGCAGAGUCAGGUCUGGUUGGUACUUGGAUGGGAGACCACCUAGGAAUACCAGGUGCUACAGGCG
rnacentral:rRNA from 1 species